UACGUAGGGUGCGAGCGUUAAUCGGAAUUACUGGGCGUAAAGCGUGCGCAGGCGGUGAUGUAAGACAGUUGUGAAAUCCCCGGGCUCAACCUGGGAACUGCAUCUGUGACUGCAUUGCUGGAGUGCGGCAGAGGGGGAUGGAAUUCCGCGUGUAGCAGUGAAAUGCGUAGAUAUGCGGAGGAACACCGAUGGCGAAGGCGGCGCUCUGGGCCGGUACUGACACUGAGGAGCGAAAGCGUGGGUAGCAAACAGG
rnacentral:rRNA from 1 species